UUAAUUUAAAAAUGAUUUCAGAAACACAUUUGAUUAAUGCCUGACUCCCUGUAAUCCGUGUGUUUUCUAUACAACCAACCUCCAACUGACGUGUCACAUUUCCUUGUUAUGUUUUGAGUCAUGUUAAGUUUCACUUUCACUUUGGCAAAUAACUGCUGCGCACUAAAGGCUGCUCCUCUCGGUCGGUGUUCGUACAUCUAUCAUCUUCUCCAGUUCCUCGACCAUCCCUUUCACCAUGAGUGGAGACUGAGUCAAAAAAGAGGGCUAAGGAGGAGAGAGAAUAUUAUCCUGCAUUAGAACCUGAGAUCAUGAAGAAGGAGUUAAAGGAAGAACAAUUUGCUUUCAGACGUGGGCAGAUUGGACAUGCUGAUGAAAGCAGAGUGAAGUCAACACACUGGGAUAAUAAAUGAAGAUUUGGUCUUUAAAAAAACAAGAAUUAGGAAAUGGAAUAUAACAAGUAAUUUAUUAAUCAACUUGUAAUUCCCUUUUUAAAUAAUCCAAGUCCAGUUUACAUUCAAAAGCUGGAUUUUAAUCUGUAUAUUUUGGUGCUAUUUCAUUGAUUUAGAUUUUUAUUAAUAGCACAUAAAGAGAUAAUGUUCACAAUUAAAAACAAUAGAGGAAUAUGCAAUGUGAGGCCAAAGACCUAAAAGGCUGAUUGAGGGUCUCUUUAAAUACAAUUAUGUAUUCAAAAUCUGAAUACUUCUUCAAUAUAAUUUGAAAUUGACUGCAAGAUUUGU